GUUAUUUUGGCAGAGUAGUGCUUUAGAAUUAGAAUCUAAUAAUGUAAAUUUUACAAAUAAUA
rnacentral:tRNA from 1 species